rnacentral:rRNA from 1 species
UACAGAGGGGGCAAGCGUUAUUCGGAAUUAUUGGGCGUAAAGGGCGCGUAGGCGGCCUGGCAAGUGGAAGGUGAAAUCCCUCGGCUUAACCGAGGAACUGCCCUCCAAACUGCUUGGCUUGAGACCGGGAGAGGUGAGUGGAAUUCCCAGUGUAGCGGUGAAAUGCGUAGAUAUUGGGAAGAACACCGGUGGCGAAAGCGAUCUGCUGGGCCGCAACUGACACUAAUGGACGAAAGCUAGGGGAGCGAAUGGG